CAGAGACCCAAAAUGCUACUUACAGGCUCCCCAAUGGAAGGGCCUGCACCACACCUUUCAAUGGCCAAAGGCCAUAAUAAACACCCUCCCUUACCCAAUAAUACACGUGCCUAAGUUGAGCCUACAGCCCCAACAUUCCUAAGCAGAGCACAUAACGCUGUUUGCUAGCCCCUCUAAGAUGUUGCACGCCUUAACGGUUUCUAGCACAAGGGAAUAAAGCAGGGUUUUACCUAUUAAAAACCGGGUGGCAAAGUUUCU